GAUGAACGCUAGCUACAGGCUUAACACAUGCAAGUCGAGGGGCAGCGGGAUUGAAGCUUGCUUCAAUUGCCGGCGACCGGCGCACGGGUGAGUAACGCGUAUCCAACCUUCCGUACACUCAGGGAUAGCCUUUCGAAAGAAAGAUUAAUACCUGAUGGUAUGAUGAGAUUGCAUGAUAGCAUCAUUAAAGAUUUAUCGGUGUACGAUGGGGAUGCGUUCCAUUAGGUAGUAGGCGGGGUAACGGCCCACCUAGCCAACGAUGGAUAGGGGUUCUGAGAGGAAGGUCCCCCACAUUGGAACUGAGACACGGUCCAAACUCCUACGGGAGGCAGCAGUGAGGAAUAUUGGUCAAUGGACGAGAGUCUGAACCAGCCAAGUAGCGUGAAGGAUGAAGGUCCUACGGAUUGUAAACUUCUUUUAUAAGGGAAUAAACCCUCCACGUGUGGGAGCUUGUAUGUACCUUAUGAAUAAGCAUCGGCUAACUCCGUGCCAGCA
rnacentral:rRNA from 1 species